ACUUCUGUCUCUUCCUUUAGUAAAUUUUACUCUGGAAGUGGAAACCCUGUCCAUACCUCUGUAUUUUGCAGCUCUAGAAACAGAGCUGUUUCUGAGAUUUUGAGGGGGGGAUGUCAGCUUCUGAAACCUUGUCUUGUGACAGAGUGGAGGUGGCCCCUGGGGACCUCAGACAGCUGCGGGGAUGCUCUGGGUUCGUGCUGAGACCAGAGGAGUCCCUGCAGUGCCGUCCCCACCACGGGCUCCGGAAAUAGCUGUUCCCCAAACUCCGGGAGACCAGGGGGAUGGGGGCCCCUCGAGCAUCCCGACGCCCACUUGGAGGAGACAGCAGGCUGGCAGGCAGGGGGAUGCGUGAAGGGCGUCCAAGGGGGAUGCCGUUGACCCCGACCAGGAAGGAGUCCCCCGGCUCCAGGAGGUUGAACAGGGCGGCCUCCAGUGCGCAGUGCCCUGAGCCACUGACGGCCAGCGUGAGGGGGUUCCGGGUCUGGAACACGUACUGGAUGCCUUGCUUGAUCUCGUCCAUGAUCUGGGGGCAGUGGACAUGCAGGUCACCGCCUCCCCUACUCCCACCCCGGGGAGAAGGCCACUCAGGGCACUGACCGCUGUGUCUCAGUGGCCUACCUGGAACAUCUCCUUGUGCAUGUGUCCUAUUGUCUGCCUCCCCCCAGCCGCCAUGACGCGGGGGGUCAGGUUAGAGGGGCCAGGCCCCAGCAGAAGCCGGCUGGGGAGGGACAGGGGCUUACUCAGGGCUUCUGGGGGAGCCACCAGCAGUGGGUGGGAGGCCAUGGUCCUCACCCAACCUGCCGCCUUGUGCCCCAGGGCCGCACUGGCCGCGGUCAGUGCCCGGAGCAUUUCCCAGCAGGCCCUGCACUGGACGACGGGCACCGGAGGACACGGGGGCGUCCAGGAGGUGAGCCUGGUCGAUGGGUUUCUGCUCCACCUGCUGUCUUUUGCUGUGUGUCGUUGUUACCAGGCCGUUAUCAAUGCUUGUCCUGCACGUGAAGGCUUGGAAGCAGGGGUGUUGAACCCUCGGUGGGAGAGGAGGAGCCAACAAAGUCCAGUCAGUGAAAAACAGAUCUUGGCAAGCUGCCCUCUGCCCUCCAGCCGCCCCUCCCUCUCCGUCCCCGAAGGAUGCCCAGCCUGGUACACCUGGCUGGGCUCAGGGGGCCCCAGCGUUUUUCUUAUGUGACCAGAGCGCCAACAUUUCAGACUUGGCAGACCUACAGGCUGUGUUAAAACUACUCAGCCCUGCUGUGGUGGUGAGAAGGCGGUUACAAGGGUGUGGCUGUGUGCUAAUAAAACUUUAUUUACAAAAGAAGCAGUGGGCCAGAUUUGGCCCAGGGCCACAGUUUGCUGAUUCUGGCUUAGCUCCCGGAAAGACUCACUUUAGAAAAUAUAUGCUCCACGUGUAUAAACACACAUAUGUACACACUGAGGACAUGUCCAUUCUUGAUCCUUUUGGAGUAUUUCCUCUGCCCAUCUACACCUGAGGGCCCCGAUGAUUGGUCUCCACACACGUAACUAAGGGGUGCUCACUGGGGAGCCUCUGCAACUUCUGAGUCAGCACGUGGGUCGAAUAAAUGCGACCAAGACUCCCUGCAGGAGGAGCCAGGCCCAGCCCAGGGUGGCAGCCCAGCAGAGCCGCUGGCGUCCUGGGACAUCGAAGGAGCCCUGCGUUGUGGGUGACCAGGCCAGGGAGGCACUGGACCGGAUGCUCUCUGAGUAGCUCUUGCUUCUGACAGCUCUCAAGGGGCUGGGUUGGAGCUUGCCAGGACUUCCCGUUCUGUGUUUAGGGAUCUGACGCCUGGGCCUCAGUAACCAGGGAGGCGUCCAGGCUUGCACGGAGCCUCCAUGGUCGACAAGUGACUGCACGCGACCUUCCCCCAUGGGGACUUGCCCCUCAGCUCAGCAGAGCCCUGCAUUCAGCACUCGUUGCUUGGGUUGGGUUCGUCUGGCAUCCUGGGGUGGCAGGGACUCCACAAGCUUUAGCCAGGAUGGACGGGCAUGGCCUGAGCACCUGGAGACCCUCACAGCCCUGCUGGGUCAGGGCGCCCUGUCCAUCUGGGAGGAACAGGCAAAGGGGACAGGCCCCGAGUGGUGGGCAGAAAGAAACUCAGGGAAGGGGGGCCAGACAUGUCCCUGUUGGCCCAGGGCAGGCCUGCCACGCCACCGCUAGCCUGGCCCUGUCCUGCACAGGGAGGCCCAGCGGGCGCCCCCUCCCUCGCUCCUUCCUUCCCUUCUUUCCCCAAUGCCCCGACAUCUUCCUUACCAAGCGAUCCCUCUGGGCCAGGACCCAGUCUGGCAGCUCCAACUGAUGCAGUGUCAGCAAGAGGAGAAGCAGAAGCCCCUACCGGCGGCCGGCGGGUGGGGCAGAGGACCUGGGGUCUGCGACAGCCUCCUGGGAGCUGAGAGGAGAUGCCUGAAGGGCCUGAGAGCCUGGAGGAGGGGACAACCCCGGGGGGCUGCUGGGCAAAGUCCGUGGGGGCUUCGGAGCUGGGCCUUGGAGAAGGGAGAGGCGGGCCCACCCCAGGGUGGGAGGGGUGGUGAGGGCCUGCUAGGCAGAAGGAGCUGCAGGGAGCUGGGCACAAAGGUGGAGGCCUGUGUGAGGGGGGCCUGUGCAGACCCCUGCUGGGGCCAGCAGCCUCAGGUCUGGCCCGGCCAUGGUGGCUGGGGCCCGGUACUGGCCUGGUAACACCUGUGCGGCACUGGGCCUCUGGAGUCACAGGUGUGUCAGCCCUGCCCAGCCCUGGUGCUGACCUGCCACAGCUGAGGAACCUUCUCCUGCUGGAGGGGGUGCCAGCCCCACAGCUGUGCCCACCCUGGGGGUCCCCUGCCUGCUGGCAGCGGGGGGACCACCCGGUCCGCAGGAAAGGCCCCUCGACUCUGCUCCUGCCCUGGCCAUCUUGUCUGCAGCCACACGGUCCCUGGGCUCCUUCCCUCAGUCCCUGAGCCCAGAGUCCUGCUCGGCCCGCCCUCCGCCCACCUGAGAGCUGCACCACCUGGACCAGUGCAUCAUCGGGGCCUCCCACCAGGUACACUGCUGCCUUCGCUCCAGUCUAACAAAUGUCUCUGUGCCUUUGCACGUGCUGUUCCCUCUGCCUGGAAGGCUUGUCCCUUUCUUUGCUCAGCUCCUCUGGCUCUUUUCUCAGAGCUGUGGCCAAACCUCCCGUCCGGGGAGCCAUCCUGUCUGGAGUUCCUCAGAUGUCCUUCCGUCACGCCACAGGCUGCAUGGGCCGCCCUGUCUGUGUAGGCCUCGGGCAGGACCCCACUUCGUGCAGCUCUGAGGGGUGCCCAGCGUGGCACGUCGGGGCAGGAGAAGCCUGGGCCCGGGGUUGGCUGACCCGGCCUGGCCGGUGGACGGGUGGGGGCAGCCCAGGGAAACGAGGGAGGUGUGUGUUCUUUGUUCCAAAAUAGGAAGAUGUCCUGUGUCAACGUAACCGGGAGGGGAGUGUUGCAAUCCAGAGAGGCGUCUCCUCAGUCCGAGAGCAGAUUGGGAGCCGCGAGCCAUUGACGCCAGCGAGCAGCGCGGCAGUUGACGUGAAAAGCACAAACGACUGCUUUUGUCUGAGGGUCUGCAACCUGCCGCACCCCAGAGGCGCGUCGUGAAGGCAGGCGGUGCCCUCUGUCCCCUUGGCCCUCCGGGCAGACAGUGACCUUGUGUGCCGGUACCGACGGGCUUCUCGUCCUAUUUACCAGCUGGGAGUCUCCACGGAUGCUCUGUUUCAAACCUACGGCUAAAGCCAGCCUGUCCUGACAUCCUGGGCCAGAGGAGGCCGUCAGAGGCCCACCGCUCACAUUUUCACAGACAGCCCGCCAGGUCCCAGACGGCCUGAAACCCGCAGCCUCAGCCAGAGCGGCAGGACCCCCAGGGCUGCCUGGUGGGAAAUGCAGCUUUGCCUCAGGGUGUCCGGCCCAAGGCGCCACGGCCAGGUCACCACCUGAGUGGUAGGGGUGGGUCUCUGCUGGGAGAAGGUCAGUGGGAGCCUGUCCCAGCGAGCAGCCCCUGCUGUGGCAUCACGUGCCUGGGUAUUUGUUUAGUUGUGCCCUGGCAGGUCCUACAAGGGCCAGGCUCUGGACACCAUCGAUUAACUGCUGUUCCCCCACCCACCCCCGGUCCAGCAUGAUGCUGCUUCCCUGUGGUCAGGGCGCCCUGGGUGAGGACACCAGGUCGUGGGGUGGAAGCCUGCACCUGUGGCGAGGGGCCAGGAGCCCAGCAGAGGGCACCACCCAGCUCUGCCUCGGAGAAUCAGGACUGAGCAGUCUCAGGGCGCUGCCACAGGUAUGGCUCACGUGCUUCAGCUCCACUACGAUGAGGGUGGACAGGCGACUUGCGGCAGCAAGUCACCCCCGUUCUCCAGGCACUGAGCAGGCAGACGAGCCCCCGGCCACGUGGUGACGAAUGACACGUCGACCACAAAAGCAGAGCACCCUCGCAGAAAAACCAAGCGUUCCUGGGGCUCUCGAGGUGCCUGCUCUGUGUGCUGUGAUUCUCAGGGCCUCAUGGGGGGCUCGGCCCCUUUCCCAUAUGGGUCCCUGUGUCAUUCAUAAUGUGACAGUUGUGACAAACCAGAGAGGAUCCCGGAGGCUCGCGCCUGCCCCGUGAGGUGGGAGCUUUGGCCAGGCUGCAUCCCACGUGCCCUCCGGCUCCCAUGGCCAGUGCCCCAGAGGGACAGCUGGGUACCAGCCUGCUGAGUUUACUAAGAGAGCUAAGGAGAUGACACACACUGGCCUCGCAAACAUCACAGAAGUCAAUCCAGGCUUUGCUGUCAGUCGGAGGAUACAUUUAGCAUCAACUUUAACGUCAGUUUAAAAUCCAACAUGAGAUGAGGGUCGUCGAAACCCGGGGCACGAGAGUUUGCGGGAAAGUUUGGCGAGACUCAGGCCGGACUGGACGCGCAUGCCUGGAGCUUCCUCCCGGGAAUCGCCGCGGUGCAGGCACUGAACCCUCUCUGACUGUUUUCCUAUUAACGGGAAGCUGCAGUUUAGCUGCAAGGUAAGGUGAAAGGUCGCCCCGCCCUUCGUGUUUGGGAUCCUAGGGACCCGUUCUGUUCUCUUGUCAGGGACUGCACGGCCUGUCCUGUCUGGCUGGUCCUGCGGAGGCCGUGAAUACAGGUCCCCGGUGGGGAGGGAGCUGGCCCAGGGCCCGCAGCUGGAUGGGCUGGACCAGCACCUUUGCUGGCAGCGCCCCUGACCCGGGCCCUGGGCUCGUCUGAGCCCCGCCCCCCGCUGCUGCCCCCGUUGCCCACACCCGCAUCUCUCUGUGCCUCCAGGGCUGCACAAGGGCUGAGGGCACUCUGCCCGCCGAGGUCUGGGAAGCAAAGGGGUGUCUAGCACCCCAGACUCUCCCAUCCAGGCUCUGAUCUCCCCAAAGCGCUGCCCACUCCCCUGCCGAACCCUCCAAGCUGAGGACGGGCGCAUAGGGAUACCUCUGAGGGUGGCCUCCCGGGAGUCUGGGCAGGACCCCUGAACUCUGGAAGGUCUCAGAAGUCAGAAGUUCUGUGAUUCUGGGGGAGCCGCCUCUAGCACUUCGUUGCCCCCACCUGUCGGCAGGCCCAUGCCUGGCUGGCGUGUUUUCCUCAGUGUUGGGGGCGGCGGGGGGCCGGGGCGGCGGCCAGCACUGCCCUCCUGGAGUCCACUCUGGGUUCCCAGAAGAGAGAAGUCCCCUGACCCCACCCUCGGGACUCUGGGAGCCCCACGCAGGGGCUAUAAGCAGACUCUGCGUCGGGCCCAGAGACGAGGGCCUGGCCUCCUUCCUGGAGGCGGCAGCAGCGGGCAGGGCGUCUGGAAUGGCCUCCACUGUGUGGCCUGAGCAGCUGCUCACCCCACCUGGACCACAAAUCGGGGAGGCGCUGGCAUCACGGGCCACGGUGAGCAGGGAGACCGGGGCUGCCUGGCACACAGGUGCCAGGUGCUGCAGGGCCAUUGGGCCGGAUCACGUUCCUCUGGGCCUCAGGAGUCAGAAUCUCAGGGAUUUUUUUAAGGCCUCCACCAAGCUGAGCGCUCCCCCCAUGCCGGGAUAGCCUCACUCUCUUCUCUGAGGCGACCGUGGAAUCCAAGCCAGAAGGCGGGUUGUCUGCGAGGACUUGAUGCGCAGGGCAGGACUGCAUGCGGCUCUGCAGGGUCAGCCCCGCCUCCACGUGUCUUCGCUGCAGCCCGCCUUCCCAACACUGGUGCCAGGGGAACAGGCCCCUUCCACGUAGAUCUCAGUGCUCUCAGGUGUUGUGGGUUGCACUGCGCCCCCCAAACUGUAUGUUCUGGUCCUGACCCCUGGUACCCGUGAAUGUGACCUUAUGAUAGGUCUCUGCAGAUGUGAUCCAGGUAAGACAAGGUCAUCCUGGGCACAGCAGGCCCCCAUCCCAUGACGGGUGUCCUUACAAGGAGAGGGAUAUUUGUACACAGAUACAGACACACAACAGAGGCCAUGAGGUCGGAGGGACGCAGCCACAAGCCGAGGGACGCCAAGGAUCGCCAGCCACCAGCAGAAGCUGGAGGGGCAGGAAGAAGCCUCCUUCGGACGCUUCAGAGGACUGCGGCCCUGCCCACACCUUGACUUUGGACGCCUGGCCUCCAGAACCAGCAGAGAGCACAUUUCAGCUUGCGGGGAUGUGUCACAGCAGUCCUAGGAAGCUAAUACAGCAGGGGACCCCUGACGCUGGGGCUUUACCUUUGGGUUUUGCUGUCAACGGCUGUUAAGUGUCGAGAGCUAGGGCACUGCUGGCCGCCGCGCUCCAGCCUCCCGCUGCCCGUCGGCGCCAGCCCCGUGCUCCAAUCCCCAUACCCCCUGGUCCCACUGCCUGGCACAGCUCCUCUGAGGGCUCGUUGGCGUCUCUUUCACAAGCCCUCACUCUUCUCUCCAAUCUCACACCCCCAAGAUUUCUGAAACUCUGAUUCAGCAAACACAAAAGUGGAAGGUGUUCUCUGGCUACACAAGCACUCGGCUGAUGACAGGGAUGCCGUCCCUGUGGCCGCUCAGCCCUCCCGGUGGGCUGCCAGCCCUGCCCCACCUCCGAAACUCACCCAGCUCUUACGGAAAGAGAUGAGAAACAGCCCACGUCCCCUGGGACUCUCGUGCCCACGGCCCUCCAUGUCUGACCCUCACUGAGAGCUUCCUAAACGUCCAUUGCCCUAAACGCAGUUACUUCUGGGGGCCGGGUGAACGCUGUUGGAGGAGGUUGGGAGACCUGAGUGGACCCGCUUCUUCCUGGGGCCUGGCCCUCAUCAAUCACUUAACGUCCCCGACUGGGAUUGCCUCUUCGGCAGGAGGUAUAGGCGCCCACCCUCACUGGCAUCCCAGGGGUUUAUGAGCAUCAAAAGACAGUACGUGAGAAGACACUUUGCAAACUCUUGCCCUGAAUCACCUUGGCCUGAUGCUAUGGAGAACCUGGGGGACUUUGCUAUUCUCAGGAAUUUUCCCAGGAAAAAGAAUUCAAUGCCUACCUGACAUUCAGCUUUUAAGUUGAAUUUGAAAAGAUAAAAGUAUUAUAUGCUCACCAUAAAUAAUUUUUUAAAAGACAAAAGAAAUUUAAAACAAAUCAAAUGCUUGGAAACCCUCUAUGGACACCAGGCCCCUUUUACACUCUAUGUUCAUCUUGCCGGGUUUUUGUCUGCAUCACUGAAAUCAUUUAAUAUACGCUGAUAUUUCAGUGGCGUUAACACCGGAGCCUUCAUGGGUCCCUGAGGGAAGGAUACAGAACAGGUCAGAGCCGAUGCUGCCUUUCACUCCUGAGACAGUCGGGAUGCUCAGAGUUUGUCCGCCUUUCCCGUUCCAAGUUUUUCUUAAUGAACAGGAAAAGAAACGAUUUCUUAAGCCAUUUCAUAGACCUUCAAGAGGCAGAGAGCUGAUACUCUCAUUUGUUAGUGUGUCGGGUGAGCAGGUCUGUCUGAUCCAGCUGCAGCUAAAAUCAUUUACCUUGGCGUUUCUAGAGCAACAUCUUUUCAGUGUCUCUCCCUGACAUCCCGGGAGCUGCUUUCCACCUGCUGUGGAGAAAAGGGUUAACAGGCAGGCCUGCCCGCCUGAGAGGCUGGCCCUGGGCUGGGAGCUCCCAGGAGGGUCCCCAGCCCCCUCGUGGAGGAGAGGGCCUCGCUGCCCCUAAACGUUUGUGCUGGGAGUCUGGAACCUUCACCAGGCACAGGUGCCCGCGACCACUCCCAGGAAAAGCCCCAGGCGCUGUGUCUCUGACGGGCUCCCCGGGGAGACAGCACCUCACAGGUCUUCACGGCUGGUGGUGCGGAGCUAAGCGUGUCAUGUGAGGGGAGGGGGCUCUGGAAGCUCACGCCUGGUCCCCGACUUGUCCCUGCGCCCCUUCCUUUUACUGAUGUUGCUUUGUAUCCUUUCUCUGUCCUGAAUCCAGCUGUGAGCACGGCCUCUGCUGAGUCCUGGGGGCCCCCUAGCGAACCUGGGGGUGGUCCUGGGGACGCAAAUAUGCACAAUUGACUUUUUAAAGCUCAGGGAGUUGAGUGUUUUACCACUGGCAGUGCUGUAAUUAGAUCCAUGUUUCUGUCCUCUGUUCGGCAAACUUCAGCCUCAUUUCUUUCCUGUACUGAGAGACGUUCUGACGUUGUGCUUCAUUAAUUCAUGUUUUUGUUUGUUCACCGUCAUUGGCCGAGUCUACUCUGAGUCAGCCAUAUGAGAAUAAAUGAUUGUGCAU